UAGGGAAUCUUCCGCAAUGGACGAAAGUCUGACGGAGCAACGCCGCGUGAGUGAAGAAGGAUUUCGGUUCGUAAAACUCUGUUGUUAGGGAAGAAAAAAUGUAUAGUAACUAUAUACAAAAGAGACGGUACCUAACCAGAAAGCCACGGCUAACUACGUGCCAGCAGCCGCGGUAAUACGUAGGUGGCAAGCGUUGUCCGGAAUUAUUGGGCGUAAAGCGCGCGCAGGUGGUUUAGAAAGUCUGAUGUGAAAGCCAACGGCUCAACCGUGGAGAGUCAGUGGAAACUAAUAAACUUGAGUGCAGGAGAGAAAAGUGGAAUUCCUAGGGUAGCGGUGAAAUGCGUAGAGAUUAGGAGGAACACCGGUGGCGAAAGCGGCUUUUUGGCCUGCAACUGACACUGAGGCGCGAAAGCGUGGGGAGCAAACAGG
rnacentral:rRNA from 1 species